CCUACGGGUGGCUGCAGUGGGGAAUAUUGGACAAUGGGGGCAACCCUGAUCCAGCCAUGCCGCGUGUGUGAAGAAGGCCCUCGGGUUGUAAAGCACUUUCAGUGAGGAAGAACGCCUGGUGGUUAAUACCCAUCAGGAAAGACAUCACUCACAGAAGAAGCACCGGCUAACUCCGUGCCAGCAGCCGCGGUAAUACGGAGGGUGCGAGCGUUAAUCGGAAUUACUGGGCGUAAAGCGCGCGUAGGUGGCUUGAUAAGCCGGUUGUGAAAGCCCCGGGCUCAACCUGGGAACGGCAUCCGGAACUGUCAAGCUAGAGUGCAGGAGAGGAAGGUAGAAUUCCCGGUGUAGCGGUGAAAUGCGUAGAGAUCGGGAGGAAUACCAGUGGCGAAGGCGGCCUUCUGGACUGACACUGACACUGAGGUGCGAAAGCGUGGGUAGCAAACACGAUUAGAUACCCGGGUAGUC
rnacentral:rRNA from 1 species